UACGUAGGGUGCAGGCGUUAAUCGGAAUUACUGGGCGUAAAGCGUGCGCAGGCGGCUUCUCAAGUCAGAUGUGAAAUCCCCGGGCUUAACCUGGGAAUUGCGCUUGAAACUAGCGGGCUUGAGUGUGGCAGAGGGGGGUGGAAUUCCACGUGUAGCAGUGAAAUGCGUAGAGAUGUGGAGGAACACCGAUGGCGAAGGCAGCCCCCUGGGUCAACACUGACGCUCAUGCACGAAAGCGUGGGGAGCAAAAGGG
rnacentral:rRNA from 1 species